GGUCUGUUUAAUAAAUUCCCAGAUCCAGGCAGGAACUUGACUGGGUGAAAUUACGUCCACUUCAGACAAACAAAGUGCGGUAAUUUGGCAAAUUGUGGGAGGGGCCGUGAAGGGGAGGUGGGAGGAGUCAUAGGGAAAGGUGUGAAGGUUGGAAACUUGUUGGCAUAUUCUCUCCGGACACUAGUUAAUAACUACAGCUGUAUGAGUGAGCUGAACUUUAAGCAGUUUUCCCAAGCGGUUUAGCUCAACAACAGUACAACAUACAAACAAGGGGGAGUCUGCAGACGCUGGAAAUCCGAGCAACACGCACGGAGGACUCCAUGUGGUGCACAGCAAAUACAGUGGAUUAGAAUGGAAGAAGAAUCUGCAAUCUGAAAUACAGUGGACUAGAAUGGAAGAACCACUGCUUCACUUGAGUGAUUGCUUGGAUUGUGGAUGGUGAGAAGGGAAGAUUUUGAAAGGACUGGUGUUGCAAGGGAAGGCGCAGUGGGUCUGAAUGGACAAACAGACCAGGGAGCCACCAAACCGUGUGAUCCAUGUAAGAUGCAGGACGUGGAGGAGAAUGGAAGAUGUCACAUGGUGGAAUCAUGUUGGAACUGGUGGAAAUUUUGAAGAUUAAUGCAGAAUGCAGGCGGCUGUGGCAAAGUCGGUGAUGCACAGAAGUGUGGAGAUCCCAAACUUGCUGGCGUUCAUGGGGAAACAUGAGAAGUCCACGUGGAAACCAACACAUUCCAGUCUGAUAUAGUCUGAAUUUCCAGUAGAACAGACUGAGGAGCUAUCAAACGCGACUGGAAUUCUAACAGGAGAAGCAGACAGCCUACACAGGCAGGCCUGAAACUCUCAUUCCAAACUUCAGAUCGUCAGUUCUCCCGGGAAGGGGACUCCUUCCCUACACAUGCCAAAUCAAAUUACAGCCAUCCCAGACUCUUUGAAGAAUCACGUUAAUCUUCCAGGGACAAGCACAAACACAAAAGGUGGACCACAGGCCUGAAAUCACAGUGCUAUUUUAGACUGCUCAGAUCUACGAGAGUUGUAACCUGCAAUUAAAUAAAAUUACUGUUCUUCCCCGCGUGUUAUUAUCUAUGUGAGCAGAUGGUGCCAUGUAAACUUCAAACACUAUGAGGGGAGAGAAAACCAGACCUAACCUGGACCAAGACCUGAAGAAGGGUCUCGGCCCGAAUCGUCGGCUGUUUAUUCAUUUCCAUAGAUGCUGCCUGACCUGCUGAAUUCCUCCAGCAUUUUGUAUGUGUUGCUCUGGAUUUCCAGCAUCUCUCGUGUUUAUAUCUCGAACUGUAUUUAUUGAACUGUGUUCAUUUUACAGAGUGCUCUAAUGUAGAAUAAUCACUAACUGAGUAUCCGUGGAUGUAACUUGUAUAAUUACAGAGGGGCUGCAGGUGCAGAGGGAGUGCUGUGCUAAGAUGUGGAAAAUGACAGGGUAAGUGCUGUGGUGUAACAGUGCAAACGACAUCAGCAAUAUCAGUGAUAUGACCAAACCAGUGGAGACCCGGAGAGGACUCCAGGGCUGGAAAUCUGGAGCAAUGUACAUAAAAACUUUUAAUCCACAGAACGUCAUUCAUAGACAUCGUGAACAGUUCAGAGGUGAUGUUACCGGUACCCCUCUGAUGACCAGAGCAUGAUCUACUGAUUCCCAUUGUUUUCUGUUAACCAUAUGCCAAUUGUUGUCCCAGCUCCGUGACCCUCGCUUCCUUGCUUUUGCAUUCUACAUCCAGACUACUGCUCACCCCUUUGAGUCUCCAGCAGUUUGUUGCUCCAGACCACAGUAUCUGCAGUCUUUUGUGUCCUUUAAGUGAUUAAGAGGUCCAGAAUGUCACAGGCAGAUAUACUGAUGGUCAUGUUACCAGAGGCUUGGGACUCCAUAUUACAGGGCACUUCUCUAACCACAGCUACAAGAGCUGGAUGCAGGUACAACUACAGCCGUACAAGUGACCAGACAGAGGUGGAGCCUCAUCAAACGCAGAUGUCGGUCGAGGGCAGGGGUUCCCAACCUGGGGUCCAUGGACCCCUUGCUUAAUGGUUUUGUUCCACGGCAUAAAAACUGUUGGGAGCCCGUGUUCCGGGGGCAUCUGCAGUCCACACCAAACAGACACGUGGGCUCCGUUAUUACGGGCCGAAACGCACUGGAGCCCGAGGGUCAUGAGACAGAGCCGGGGAACAGGAAUAUAGGAAGACGGCUGCUGCCAGUAGGAGGUCGCUGGAGAGGAGGAGGGAGAUAGUAACUGGAAUCACUGAGUAAAGAGGCACCUCUCUUGAAGCCUGCAGGUCAUGCCCAGUGCUGUCCGAGUCACACUGUCCACACUCCAAGCAAUGACCAGGGGGAACCCAGGUUGGACAUAAAUGUCACCCACAUCCUGCCUCACGGGCCCACCUGCACAGAUUUUAACAGACGACUGAAUGAAUCCCGGCUGUAAUUAGUUCUAAUAGCUAGCUACAACAUGUUCAUGCUGCAGGUAAAGAACCCAGACCUCCACAUCAUGAAGUUUUCCUCUCUGCUGCUGUAGUUACCUUGAACUCUCGGGAAGGACGUGACAAACUCCCCUUCGUUAAAGGAUUCUCCUGGUGGAGACUAGCAUCGGCACCCUCUGCAAGCUCUCCCUAAGGAGGGGCAGGCCCCCCGGAACCAACCCUGCUCCUGGCCUGCGUGCCACUGACCCCGAGCCCGCAUUCCCCUGUGAUUGAGAAGCUGAGCUUUCACAGUCCUGCCAGCAGCCUCUGCCUGCUCUACGACAGACUGCGUCUUCCUAGUGUCCGGCUACAAGGAGAAGCUGACUUCCUGCGCUGGUUCCUGUGGAGGAAAGUGUCAGCACAAUCGCACAAGCUCGGGUGAAGUCCUGCUCGGUACUGCACAAGUCUCACAUUAUUGCUUUGUUCCAGCUGGAUUGGGGUGUGGAAUUGUUACCUUCCUUGCACUUUUCUAUGUGUUUAACUUUCCUAUGACUUUUUAUAUAAUCACUAUUACACAAGUAAUUGUUCAGUGAAUUUCCUACAAUUACGGUACAGAGACUUCUAUAUUUUUCUAGGCGAGUCUUUGUUUUCCAUAGCAGGUGUCAUACCAGUUUCAGUUUCUUCCCCCAAGCUAUCAGACUCCUCAAUACCCGAAGCCUGGACUAACCCCAACUAACUGCCCUCUACUGUGCCUAUUGUCUUGUUUAUUAUUUAUUGUAAUGCCUGCACUGUUUUGUGCACUUUAUGUAGUCCUGGUUAGGUUUGCAGUCUAGUGUAGUUUUUUUGCUGUGUUGUUUUUAUGUAGCUCAGUGUAGUUUUUGUACUGUUUCAUGUAGCACCAUGGUCCUGAAAAACGUUGUCUCAUUUUUACUAUGUACUGUACCAGCAGUUAUGGUCGAAAUGACAAUAAAAAGUGACUUGACUUGA